rnacentral:tRNA from 1 species
UCCAACUUGGCAGAGAAUAUGCAAUAAAUUUAGAAUUUACUUAUGAUUUUAAAUCAGUUGGGA